rnacentral:lncRNA from 13 species
GGAAUUUUAAAAUGGCUCCGUGAGAUGAGUGCUAGAUUUAAGACUCUAUUAUAAAUGCACAUGUCUGAUUUUUUUUUAAAGGGAGAACUGGUUAAUCCUCCCCCAGGGACCUACUCACAGUCUGUUAAACCUUAAAAGAACAUUUCAUGGGGGCUUUCGAGACUGCUGCACUCAAAGGGGCACAUUGAUGGAAGCUCCUUAUGCUCUGAACUGAUAACAAUGAGGUCUGUAGCUGGCAUUUGGAAACGCCAUCCCCAAGUGGAAGCAGGGUCAGAGGGACAGGGUGGGUGAUUGCUGACCCGUGGCAAUCAGGAAGAGCAUCUGACUUUCUGUUCCUGAUUGAGAAAAAAUUUCUACUGGCCUGUGGGACAUCUUAGCAGAUAGGUGAGUUCCUUAAGUGCUGCUGACAGUCCUUUGAUAACAGGGACAAGGUUAUAAUUGUAUUGAAAAGGUUCCG